UACGUAGGGGGCAAGCGUUAUCCGGAUUUACUGGGUGUAAAGGGAGUGUAGGUGGCCGUGCAAGUCAGAUGUGAAAUCCCGGGGCUCAACCCCGUGACUGCAUUUGAAACUGCGUGGCUGGAGUGCAGGAGAGGUAAGCGGAAUUCCUAGUGGAGCGGUGAAAUGCGUAGAUAUUAGGAGGAACACCGGUGGCGAAGGCGGCUUACUGGACUGUAACUGACACUGAGGCUCGAAAGCGUGGGGAG
rnacentral:rRNA from 1 species